rnacentral:tRNA from 1 species
UUAAUUGAAGCCAAAAAGAGGCAUAUUAAUGUUAAUAAUACCAAUGAGAUAUCCUCCAAUUAAA